GCGAGUGAAGAGGGACAAGCUCAAAUUUUAAAUCUAUCGGGUUUUACCCGAUCGAGUUGUAAUUUGAAGAAGCGUUUUCUGCGUUUUUGGUCAGCCCAAGUCCUAUUGAAUGAGGCAUCAUGGAGGGUGAUAAUCCCGUCCGGUUGAUCAUUUGCGUUUUACGAUACGCUUUCUAAGAGUCAAGUUGUUUGGGAUUGCAGCUUAAAAUGGGAGGUAAAUUUCUCCUAAGGCUAAAUAACGGCGAGAGACCGAUAGCGAACAAGUACCGUGAGGGAAAGAUGAAAAGAACUUUGAAAAGAGAGUUAAACAGUACGUGAAAUUGUUGAAAGGGAAACGAUUGAAGCCAGUCGUACCUUCGGGUAAUCAGCUUUUCGGGUGCGAUUCUGUGGAGUGUGAUGAGCUUAACACCUUCAUGCUUUGCAUAUUUGUGCUCUUGGGUGUACUUGCCCGUGUGGUUGGUUAACAUCAAUUUUGGUUAUCAUAAAAUGAUUGGAGGAAUGUAGCUUCGAUCUCGUAUUGAAGUGUUAUAGCCUUCGGUAGAUGUGAUGAACGAGAUUGAGGAUUGCAACGGAUACCCUUCGGGGCUACCUGUCUGGUCUCUGAUCGUUGUUCUGGUGCCGAAAGCUUGCUUACGGUCAUCAAAGUCGAUGGUCAAUAGGUUAGAACGGGUUAAAUUCGUUAAGGAUGU
rnacentral:rRNA from 1 species